rnacentral:rRNA from 1 species
UACGAAGGGGGCUAGCGUUGCUCGGAAUGACUGGGCGUAAAGGGCGCGUAGGCGGUUCGUACAGUCAGACGUGAAAUUCCCGGGCUCAACCUGGGGGCUGCGUUUGAUACGUGCGGGCUUGAGUUCGGAAGAGGGUCGUGGAAUUCCCAGUGUAGAGGUGAAAUUCGUAGAUAUUGGGAAGAACACCGGUGGCGAAGGCGGCGACCUGGUCCGAUACUGACGUGAGGCGCGAAAGCGUGGGGAGCAAACAGG